rnacentral:rRNA from 1 species
UACGUAGGGUGCGAGCGUUGUCCGGAAUUAUUGGGCGUAAAGGGCUCGUAGGCGGUCUGUUGCGUCGGGGGGGAAAACUCAGGGCUUAACCCUGAGCCUGCUUCCGAUACGGGCAGACUAGAGGUAUGCAGGGGAGAACGGAAUUCCUGGUGUAGCGGUGAAAUGCGCAGAUAUCAGGAGGAACACCGGUGGCGAAGGCGGUUCUCUGGGCAUUACCUGACGCUGAGGAGCGAAAGUGUGGGGAGCGAACAGG